GACAGAGGGUGCAAACGUUGUUCGGAAUUACUGGGCGUAAAGGGCGUGUAGGCGGCCAACUAAGUCCGACGUGAAAUCCCCAGGCUUAACCUGGGAACUGCGUCGGAUACUGGAUGGCUUGAAUUCGGGAGAGGGAUGCAGAAUUCCAGGUGUAGCGGUGAAAUGCGUAGAUAUCUGGAGGAAUACCGGUGGCGAAGGCGGCAUCCUGGACCGACAUUGACGCUGAGACGCGAAAGCGUGGGGAGCGAACAGG
rnacentral:rRNA from 1 species